rnacentral:rRNA from 1 species
GACGAACGCUGGCGGCGUGCUUAAUACAUGCAAGUCGAACGCGCAGCGAGAGGUGCUUGCACCUUUCAAGCGAGUGGCGAACGGGUGAGUAACACGUGGAUAACCUGCCUCAAGGCUGGGGAUAACAUUUGGAAACAGAUGCUAAUACCGAAUAAAACUUAGUAUCGCAUGAUAUCAAGUUAAAAGGCGCUACGGCGUCACCUAGAGAUGGAUCCGCGGUGCAUUAGUUAGUUGGUGGGGUAAAGGCUUACCAAGACGAUGAUGCAUAGCCGAGUUGAGAGACUGAUCGGCCACAUUGGGACUGAGACACGGCCCAAACUCCUACGGGAGGCUGCAGUAGGGAAUCUUCCACAAUGGGCGCAAGCCUGAUGGAGCAACGCCGCGUGUGUGAUGAAGGCUUUCGGGUCGUAAAGCACUGUUGUAUGGGAAGAAAUGCUAAAAUAGGGAAUGAUUUUAGUUUGACGGUACCAUACCAGAAAGGGACGGCUAAAUACGUGCCAGCAGCCGCAGUAAAAC